AAGGAGUAACCGAAAAUCCUAAAAGAGUAGGUG
rfam:Flavobacterium hibernum strain DSM 12611 Contig27, whole genome shotgun sequence.